GCCGGGUGAAGUGGAUGAUCCUAUGCUGCCGAGAAAAGCCUCUAGUGAGUGUUGUGGCGGCCCGUACCCUAAACCGACUCAGGUGGUCAGGUAGAGAAUACCAAGGCGAUCGGGUGAACUGUGGUUAAGGAACUCGGCAAAUUGCCCCCGUAACUUCGGGAGAAGGGGGACCUCUGCUGGUGAUGGGCUUUACGUUCUGAGCUGGUGGGGGUCGCAGUGGCCAGGGGGAAGCGACUGUUUACUAAAAACACAGGUCCGUGCGAAGUCGUAAGACGAUGUAUACGGACUGACGCCUGCCCGGUGCCGGAACGUUAAGGGGACCGCUUAGCCAGCUUCGGUUGGCGAAGGUGAGAACUUAAGCGCCGGUAAACGGCGGUGGUAACUAUAACCAUCCUAAGGUAGCGAAAUUCCUUCGGGUAAGUUCCGACCUGCACGAAUGGCGUAACGACUUCCCCGCUGUCUCAACCACAGACCCGGCGAAAUUGCACUACGAGUAAAGAUGCUCGUUUCGCGCAGCAGGACGGAAAGACCCCGGGACCUUCACUACAGCUUGACAUUGGCGUUUGGAACGUCUUGUGUAGGAUAGGUGGGAGACUAGGAAGCUGUCACGCUAGUGAUGGUGGAGUCAUUGGUGAAAUACCACUCUGGUCGUUUUGAACGUCUAACUCUGGUCCGUGAUCCGGAUCGGGGACAGUGUCUGGUGGGUAGUUUAACUGGGGCGGUUGCCUCCUAAAGAGUAACGGAGGCGCCCAAAGGUUCCCUCAGCCUGGUUGGCAAUCAGGUGUUGAGUGUAAGUGCACAAGGGAGCUUGACUGUGAGACUGACAGGUCGAGCAGGAGCGAAAGCUGGGACUAGUGAUCCGGCAUCGGCGUGUGGAAGCGGUGUCGCUCAACGGCUAAAAGGUACCCCGGGGAUAACAGGCUGAUCUUCCCCAAGAGUCCAUAUCGACGGGAUGGUUUGGCACCUCGAUGUCGGCUCGUCGCAUCCUGGGGCUGGAGUAGGUCCCAAGGGUUGGGCUGUUCGCCCAUUAAAGCGGUACGGGAGCUGGGUUUAGAACGUCGCGAGACAGUUCGGUCCCUAUCCGCUGCGCGCGCAGGAGACUUGAAGGGGGCUGUCCCUAGUACGAGAGGACCGGGACGGACGAACCUCUGGUGUGCCAGUUGUACCGCCAGGUGCACGGCUGGUUGGCUACGUUCGGAAGGGAUAACCGCUGAAAGCAUCUAAGCGGGAAGCUCGCCUUGAGAUGAGGUCUCCCACCCCGUGAGGGGGUAAGGCUCCCGGUAGAUCACCGGGUUGAUAGGCCGGAGGUGGAAGCACGGUAACGUGUGGAGCUGACCGGUACUAAUAGGCCGAGGACUUGACCU
rnacentral:rRNA from 1 species